rnacentral:rRNA from 1 species
CCAAUAGCGUAUAUUAAAGUUGUUGCAGUUAAAAAGCUCGUAGUUGAAUUUCGGGGUCAGUAAGUUGGUCGUGCCACUGGUAUGUACUGGCUUUACUGAUUCCUCCUUCUUGUAGAACCGUAAUGCCAUUAAGUUGGUGUUGCGGGGAAACAGGACUGUUACUUUGAAAAAAUUAGAGUGUUUAAAGCAGGCUAACGCUUGAAUACAUUAGCAUGGAAUAAUGAAAUAGGACGUUCGAUCCUAUUUUGUUGGUUUCUAGGAUUGACGUAAUGAUUAAUAGGGAUAGUUGGGGGCAUUAGUAUUCAAUUGUCAGAGGUGAAAUUCUUGGAUUUAUUGAAGACUAACUACUGCGAAAGCAUUUGCCAAGGAUGUUUUCAUUAAUCAAGAACGAAAGUUAGGGGAUCGAAGACGAUCAGAUACCGUCGUAGUCUUAACCAUAAACUAUGCCGACUAGGGACCGGAUGAUGUUAAUUUUAUAAUGACUCAUUCGGCGCCUUACG